UACGAAGGGGGCUAGCGUUGCUCGGAAUCACUGGGCGUAAAGCGCACGUAGGCGGAUUGCUAAGUCAGGGGUGAAAUCCUGGAGCUCAACUCCAGAACUGCCUUUGAUACUGGCGACCUUGAGUCCGGGAGAGGUGAGUGGAACUGCGAGUGUAGAGGUGAAAUUCGUAGAUAUUCGCAAGAACACCAGUGGCGAAGGCGGCUCACUGGCCCGGUACUGACGCUGAGGUG
rnacentral:rRNA from 1 species